GCUCGCUUUGGCAGCACAUACUAAAAUCCGAUAGAUACAGAGAUUAGCAUGUCUCCUGUGCAAGGAUGAAAGCAAAUUUGUGAAGCAUUCCAUAUUUAA
rnacentral:snRNA from 1 species